AUCAGCAAGCUGGCUGGGCAGCCCGGGCCCCACAUUUGCUUAAGUGAAUGUUGUCUAUGAACCUUCCGUGGUGCUGAAGAGACUCAGCAGGUCAACAUGGCCCUGUCACAGAGGUUUGUCCUUACGGGGAGGACAAUGACAGGCUGGACUUUGGCAGGUGCAUGGGUUGUGCGGAGGCCACACCUGGUUCAGUAUACACAGCACAGAGAUGCACAGGACCACAGCUCUGAACUGCCCUUUUGGAAGAUAGCUGGGGAGCAUGAGUACUUUUGGAACAGGAUGAGUGUUUGGGGUUGCCAUGAAGGUUGCAUUUCGUGACACACUAAUGCCACCAGGCCACUAGGAAAUGCAGAGCGCUUUCCAUUCCUGCACAUUGUGGACGCCUGCUGCUCAUUCUGGGACAGACACACGAGUCCCUGUUCUCUCCAGGGAACUCCGUGCUUA